GUGGGGAAUAUUGCACAAUGGGGGAAACCCUGAUGCAGCGACGCCGCGUGGAGGAAGAAGGUCUUCGGAUUGUAAACUCCUGUUGUUGAGGAAGAUAAUGACGGUACUCAACAAGGAAGUGACGGCUAACUACGUGCCAGCAGCCGCGGUAAAACGUAGGUCACAAGCGUUGUCCGGAAUUACUGGGUGUAAAGGGAGCGCAGGCGGGAAGACAAGUUGGAAGUGAAAUCUAUGGGCUCAACCCAUAAACUGCUUUCAAAACUGUUUUUCUUGAGUAGUGCAGAGGUAGGCGGAAUUCCCGGUGUAGCGGUGGAAUGCGUAGAUAUCGGGAGGAACACCAGUGGCGAAGGCGGCCUACUGGGCACCAACUGACGCUGAGGCUCGAAAGUGUGGGUAGCAAACAGGAUUAGAUACCCCAGUAGUCC
rnacentral:rRNA from 1 species